UUGAUCCUGGCUCAGAAUCAACGCUGGCGGCGUGCCUAACACAUGCAAGUCGAGCGAGAAAAGGUAGCAAUACCUUAGUAAAGCGGCGCACGGGUGAGUUACACGUGGAUGACCUGCCUCGAAGUGGGGAAUAACCCCGGGAAACCGGAUCUAAUACCGCAUAAUCUGACGAGAUCUGAGGAUUUCGGCAGCAAAGGAGUAAUUCGCUUUGAGAGGGGUCCGCGGCUGAUUAGCUAGUUGGUGAGGUAAUGGCUCACCAAGGCCACGAUCAGUAGCCGGUCUGAGAGGACGGUCGGCCAUACUGGAACUGAGACACGGUCCAGACUCCUACGGGAGGCAGCAGUGGGGAUUUUUUCGCAAUGGGGGCAACCCUGACGAAGCAACGCCGCGUGGGUGAUGUAGUAUUUCGGUACGUAAAACCCUUUCGACGGGGACGAAACCGCAAGGUUUACGGUACCCGUAGAAGAAGCCCCGGCUAACUCCGUGCCAGCAGCCGCGGUAAUAAGGU
rnacentral:rRNA from 1 species